rnacentral:rRNA from 1 species
AACAGAUUUACUUCGGUAAUGACGUUAGGAAAGCGAGCGGCGGAUGGGUGAGUAACACGUGGGGAAUCUGCCCCAUAGUCUGGGAUACCACUUGGGAACAGGUGCUAAUACCGGAUAAGAAAGCAGAUCGCAUGAUCAGCUUUUAAAAGGCGGCGUAAGCUGUCGCUAUGGGAUGGCCCCGCGGUGCAUUAGCUAGUUGGUAAGGUAAAGGCUUACCAAGGCGAUGAUGCAUAGCCGAGUUGAGAGACUGAUCGGCCACAUUGGGACUGAGACACGGCCCAAACUCCUACGGGAGGCAGCAGUAGGGAAUCUUCCACAAUGGACGCAAGUCUGAUGGAGCAACGCCGCGUGAGUGAAGAAGGUUUUCGGAUCGUAAAGCUCUGUUGUUGGUGAA